AAACAUCGCCUCUUGCAAAACCAAUGAAUAAGAGGUCUCGCCUGCCCUGUGACUAUAUGUUUAACGGCCGCGGUAUUUUGACCGUGCGAAGGUAGCGCAAUCACUUGUCUUUUAAAUGGAGACCUGUAUGAAUGGCACAACGAGGGCUUAACUGUCUCCUCUUUCCAGUCAAUGAAAUUGAUCUUCCCGUGCAGAAGCGGGAAUAAUUACAUAAGACGAGAAGACCCUAUGGAGCUUUAGACAAAAGGCAGACCAUGUUAAGCACCCUUAAAUAAAAGGCUAAACUCGAUGACCCCUGCCCCAAUGUCUUUGGUUGGGGUGACCGCGGCGAAACAUAUAACCCCCGCGAAGAAAGAGGGCUCCUCCCUCCGAACCAAGAGCUCCC
rnacentral:rRNA from 1 species